CACGUAGGGCGCAAGCGUUGUCCGGAAUUAUUGGGCGUAAAGAGCUCGUAGGCGGUGUGUCGCGUCGGCCGUGAAAACCUGCAGCUUAACUGUGGGCGUGCGGUCGAUACGGGCAUCACUGGAGUUCGGCAGGGAGACUGGAAUUCCUGGUGUAGCGGUGAAAUGCGCAGAUAUCAGGAGGAACACCGGUGGCGAAGGCGGGUCUCCUGGGGCCGAUAACUGACGCUGAGGAGCGAAAGCGUGGGGAGCGAACAGG
rnacentral:rRNA from 1 species